UGGCUCAGGAUGAACGCUGGCGGCGUGCUUUAUACAUGCAAGUCGAACGUGAAGCUGACUUCGGUCAGUGGAAAGUGGCGGACGGGUGAGUAAUACAUAGGAAAUCUGCCCUUAGGAAGGGGAUAACAGUCGGAAACGAUUGCUAAUACCCUAUAUGAGCUUGGUUGCAAUACCAAUCUUAGAAAACUCCGGUGCCUAAGGAUGAGCCUGUGCCUGAUUAGCUUGUUGGUGGUGUAAUGGACCACCAAGGCGACGAUCAGUAGCUGGUUUGAGAGGAUGAUCAGCCACAAUGGAACUGAGACACGGUCCAUACUCCGUACGGGAGGCAGCAGGUAAGGGUAAGUUUUGGGCAAGUGGGACGAAAGCCUCGACCCAGCAACGCCGCGUGUGUGAUGAACGCCCUAGGGGUGUAAAACACUGUCAGUAGGGAAGAAACUUGACUGUACCUACAGAGGAAGCACCGGCUAACUCCGUGCCAGCCGCGGC
rnacentral:rRNA from 1 species